rnacentral:tRNA from 1 species
AUUUGAAUAGCUUAGGGUUAAAGCAUAGCAUUGAAGAUGCUGGGAUGAUUUUUGUAAUCUUUAAAUA